CCUGUCUCUUGAGGGAUUGCAGAUAUGGCUGCCAUGUCACAUGUGUGUCAGUAGGUGGCAGAGAGGGGAGAAGCUAUGUCUUCACUCAGUGUUCUGACCUAUGAACAUCUGGAUGAUUAGUAGUCUAACAUU